AAUUAAAAACACAAAGUUAAACAGAGACACCUCUUUUACUGUGACCCAGAUGAUGUAAGAGGAGACGAUUUUGAUGAUAUGCAGCUCCAAAAGCCACCAGACAAAGACUUGCAUCUUAUGAAAGUACUCCAGGAAUUUCAAAAACAGCACUGUAAGGCGGUCAAUCACCAGAUGCCACUUGUUUCUUAGGUCUGUAGUUUCUUCUUCCUCUGACUCAUCGUCUACAUCAUCAUCUUCCUUCUCCUCAUCUUCCUCUUCUUCUUCUUUUCCUUUUUCAGCCCUCCCUUUCCCUCCCUCCC
rnacentral:lncRNA from 1 species